rnacentral:rRNA from 1 species
UACGAAGGGUGCAAGCGUUACUCGGAAUUACUGGGCGUAAGGCGUGCGUAGGUGGUUCGUUAAGUCUGAUGUGAAAGCCCUGGGCUCAACCUGGGAAUUGCAUUGGAUACUGGCGAGCUGGAGUGCGGUAGAGGGUGGCGGAAUUCCCGGUGUAGCAGUGAAAUGCGUAGAGAUCGGGAGGAACAUCCGUGGCGAAGGCGGCCACCUGGACCAGCACUGACACUGAGGCGCGAAAGCGUGGGGAGCAAACAGG